UCCAGAAGAAAGUUGCAAUUGGUGAUCAUGUGACCUCGGGAUGCUGCAAUUGCACAGGAUUCACCUAAUGAUGAUAACAGGAAUCGUUGCAACUGCCAUUAUAAGUUGAUGUGUAAAGAUAAAUGCAGAGAAUUCAAUCAAUUAUCUACAAUCUCUACAUUCUCCGUGAGGAUCCCUUUUCUUACUUUGUCAUCUAACAGCCAAACUUCAUAUAUUGCAGUUCUCCUUCCCCAAGACCCAAGCAAAUGAUCAUCCUGGAACUGGGGCAAAGCAAGUUCCAGUUUACAUCUGGAAGGUCUCUUCUACAUAUCUUUCUAGCUGUCUCAGCAUUUCCAGUUCACUUAUCUUGGUUUCAAGGGAAAGGAUUUCGUAAGAUUUGGGAGCUUUAUGAGCAAGAGUAAUCUAUGACUUAUUCUCAAAUACGUUCUGUGCAGUAAAUGGGAAAGCAUCUCCCCCUUUGCUGA